rnacentral:rRNA from 1 species
AGAGUUUGAUCAUGGCUCAGAUUGAACGCUGGCGGCAGGCCUAACACAUGCAAGUCGAACGGUAACAGGAAGCAGCUUGCUGCUUCGCUGACGAGUGGCGGACGGGUGAGUAAUGUCUGGGAAACUGCCUGAUGGAGGGGGAUAACUACUGGAAACGGUAGCUAAUACCGCAUAACGUCGCAAGACCAAAGAGGGGGACCUUCGGGCCUCUUGCCAUCGGAUGUGCCCAGAUGGGAUUAGCUAGUAGGUGGGGUAACGGCUCACCUAGGCGACGAUCCCUAGCUGGUCUGAGAGGAUGACCAGCCACACUGGAACUGAGACACGGUCCAGACUCCUACGGGAGGCAGCAGUGGGGAAUAUUGCACAAUGGGCGCAAGCCUGAUGCAGCCAUGCCGCGUGUAUGAAGAAGGCCUUCGGGUUGUAAAGUACUUUCAGCGGGGAGGAAGGGAGUAAAGUUAAUACCUUUGCUCAUUGACGUUACCCGCAGAAGAAGCACCGGCUAACUCCGUGCCAGCAGCCGCGGUAAUACGGAGGGUGCAAGCGUUAAUCGGAAUUACUGGGCGUAAAGCGCACGCAGGCGGUUUGUUAAGUCAGAUGUGAAAUCCCCGGGCUCAACCUGGGAACUGCAUCUGAUACUGGCAAGCUUGAGUCUCGUAGAGGGGGGUAGAAUUCCAGGUGUAGCGGUGAAAUGCGUAGAGAUCUGGAGGAAUACCGGUGGCGAAGGCGGCCCCCUGGACGAAGACUGACGCUCAGGUGCGAAAGCGUGGGGAGCAAACAGGAUUAGAUACCCUGGUAGUCCACGCCGUAAACGAUGUCGACUUGGAGGUUGUGCCCUUGAGGCGUGGCUUCCGGAGCUAACGCGUUAAGUCGACCGCCUGGGGAGUACGGCCGCAAGGUUAAAACUCAAAUGAAUUGACGGGGGCCCGCACAAGCGGUGGAGCAUGUGGUUUAAUUCGAUGCAACGCGAAGAACCUUACCUGGUCUUGACAUCCACAGAACUUUCCAGAGAUGGAUUGGUGCCUUCGGGAACUGUGAGACAGGUGCUGCAUGGCUGUCGUCAGCUCGUGUUGUGAAAUGUUGGGUUAAGUCCCGCAACGAGCGCAACCCUUAUCCUUUGUUGCCAGCGGUCCGGCCGGGAACUCAAAGGAGACUGCCAGUGAUAAACUGGAGGAAGGUGGGGAUGACGUCAAGUCAUCA